AUGAUAAAAGAUGGGUCAGAGAUUCAUUCCCGGGAGGACAAGUGGUUAGGCAAUGUCACCUUCCGAGAACAAUAUCUUGAUUUGUACCGCAUUGUGAGUGAUAAAAAUGGUACUAUUGCGCAUGUGCUUAGUUCAUCCCCGUCAAAUAUUUCUUUUAGGCGGGAUUUAAUUGCCCCCCGUCUUAUGUCAUGGCAAAAUCUUCUAUCCCUAUGGGAGUCGACUAACCUGACAUAUGGACGGGAUGAGUUUCGUUGGAAUCUCAUAACAUCUGGGUUCUUCACAGUUGACUUUAUGUGUCACCCACUAACGCAUUCAGAGGCUCCAGUGGAUAUAACAAGAAAAUUUGAAAAUCAAAAGUUUCACUAA
rnacentral:rRNA from 1 species